rnacentral:rRNA from 1 species
AUUGAACGCUGGCGGCAGGCCUAACACAUGCAAGUCGAGCGGUAGCACAGAGAGCUUGCUCUCGGGUGACGAGCGGCGGACAGGUGAGUAAUGUCUGGGAAACUGCCUGAUGGAGGGGGAUAACUACUGGAAACGGUAGCUAAUACCGCAUAACGUCGCAAGACCAAAGUGGGGGACCUUCGGGCCUCAUGCCUUCAGAUGUGCCCAGAUGGGAUUAGUUAGUAGGUGGGGUAACGGCUCACCUAGGCGACGAUCCCUAGCUGGUCUGAGCGGAUGACCAGCCAUACUGGAACUGAGACACGGCCCAGACUCCGACGGGAGGCAGCAGUGGGGAAUAUUGCACAAUGGGCGCAAGCCUGAUGCAGCCAUGCCGCGUGUGUGAAGAAGGCCUUCGGGUUGUAAAGCACUUUCAGCGGGGAGGAAGGCGAUAAGGUUAAUAACCUUGUCGAUUGACGUUACCCGCAGAAGAAGCACCGGCUAACUCCGUGCCAGCCGCCGCGGUAACAC